CCAUUGUGCCAUAACAAAAUCGUCUGCUGCUGUUCAUUUGUUUUCUGUUCGCAUCGGUUCGCAUGCUGUUUUUCGUUGAAACCGAACACGCCGACUCGGCGUGAAAACUUGUUAAUUGCAAAUCAAAUUUUUGAAAAAAAUUCGUGAAUAGGCCUACCAAAUAACAAAAAGUGCGUUAUUAUGAAAUCAAUUGUUGCUUGAAUCUGGACCUGGUUCAACAUGGAACUUCAACUUCAGUAAAUGAAACUAGAUGGAGAAAAAGUUUGGGGAUCACACUUGGAACAACAGGAAAUACUAGAUGGACAAUUUCCACUUUCAGCUUUCCAAUUUUGUCGAACAGCAUUAUUCUCUUUGCCGCUAGUCAAUCAACUGUGAUCCAGUGUUCCACAUUUGACUUCUCAGGAUGUUUCCCAUUGCCAAUACUGCCAACCUUGCUGCAGUUCCCGAGUGGUAAGCUGUGGGUAUAGACACCACCGACAUCAAAGAUGAUGGGCCGCUUACAACAGAAUUGAGCUCAAGUCCUCAUCAUAUUUUCUCUUAGUUUGUUGUUUGGCACUGCCAACCAACUGCAUCAGUUUCCACAGUUUUUUUACAGGGUAUCUGCUUUGAAGAUGGCCAACGUCAAAUUUCUUUUCAUUAAUCCAAUGAACAAUACUGGUGGAUUUUCGAAUGGACGUGACCGACAGCAUCCGACCGUUCAUCCCUGGCAGGAGGAUCAGGUGGAUCUGGCCUAGAAGCCGGAAGCCCAUCAUACGCUGGUUGAGAGUGACGUCUGUGACGAGUUGGUGGCGGCCAAGACGAUUCUGUCGACUUAGUAGCUGCCGCUGUUGUUGCGGCCCAUCAAACGAGACGUCCAGCGGGUGAACCAGCGACGAUGGCCGAUAUUGACGAGAAAGUGAAUUGAUCGGAUCCAGCAUCCCGGCUGCCCACGGCUACUUGGACUCGGCCAGCCAGUCGGUGACCCAGCGUUGGUUGAGGGGUGAGCUGUCCAACUUCCAGUAUCUGAUGCACCUCAACACGCUGGCCGGCCGCACCUACAACGAUCUGAUGCAGUACCCGUUUUCCCCUGGGUCCUGGCCGAUUACGAUUCGCCCGAGCUGGACCUCUCGCAGCCGUCCACCUUCCGCGACCUGUCCAAGCCGAUGGGAGCCCAGACGUCUGACCGGCUGCAGCAGUUCCGCAAGCGCUACAAGGAGUGGGACGACCUGCACAACGAGACGGGCCCCUACCACUACGGCACCCACUACUCGAACUCGUCGGCCAUGAUCGUCUGCUCCUAUCUGGUCCGGCUGGAGCCCUUCACCCAGCAGUUCCUUCAGCUGCAGGGCGGACACUUUGAUUUGGCCGACCGGCUGUUCCACUCGAUCAGGGAGGCCUGGUGGUCGGCCGCCCAGCUCAAUAUGGCCGACGUCAAGGAGCUGAUCCCCGAGUUCUUUUACCUGCCCGACUUUUUGGUCAACGCCAACCAGUUUGACCUGGGCUGCAAGCAGAGCGGCGUGGCCCUGGACGAUGUCGUCCUGCCGCCCUGGGCCAAGAACGACCCGCGCGAGUUCAUCCGGGCCGCCCUGGAGAGCGACUACGUCUCUCAGCACCUGCACGAGUGGAUCGACCUCAUCUUCGGCUACAAGCAGCAAGGGCCGGCGGCCGUCGAGUCCGUCAACCUCUUCCACCCGCUCUUCUACGAGGGCAACGUGGACAUUGACAGCAUCGAGGAUCCGCUCAAGAAGAACGACGUCAUCGGAUUCAUCAACAAUUUCGGCCAGACGCCCAAGCAGCUUCAAGAAGCCGCACCCUCCAGCAAGAAGGUGGUUGGGGCCGGCAGUCGCAUCAGCGGACUGGAAAUGGCCCUGCCUCUGGCCGGACAGGCUGCCAUGCAGAUCCUGCCUCUGCUGCCGUCGUUGGCUUCCGGCUUCCAUUCGGCGGCCCUUGGCUCCACCUUUGGUCCAUCAACGGCGACCCGCUGGCCAGCGGGUUUCUCCAUCUGUUUCUCCAUCUUCCGGUUGCAGGUUUCAAGUGGCAGAGGCAAUUGAUUUUCCGGACGAAAUUGACGAUGCACACGGCCUACGAUCGCCAAGACAACAGCGAACCUGCGUCCGUCACAUCUCUGGCCAUUUCCAAGGACAAUCGAACUGUAUUGGUUGGCGACGCCCGCGGUCGCAUCCAUUCGUGGAGCGUGACGGACGUGAUGGGCCGCUCGGUGGCCGACCAUUGGCUCCGCGACGACAUUUUCGAAACGUGCACUAAAUGCCGCGUGAAAUUCUCGUUGACUGAACGGCGACAUCACUGCCGCAACUGCGGACACGUCUUUUGCUCCCGUUGCAGUCGCUACGAGUCUGAAAUUAUGCAAUUGAGGAUCCGCCGGCCGGUGCGGGUGUGUCAGGAGUGCUACGCUUCUUUAAAAAUGUCCAGCGAUGGAACUUCUUAAUUUCGACCGACAAAAGAUGAAGAAAUGUUUGACUUAAACAAAAAAGAAAAUGGGCUAAUCUGUCAGAGAGUAGUGAAUCAAUGUCCAGUUAUGUAACGACACACCCGCCCUUUGGCCCAAUGGAUCAGGGGGCGGGGCAAUUUAUAUCACAGGUGUGUAGAUGAUUUCUAAAAAAUUUGGUUUCUAAAAAACGACAGUCGUGUUUUAGCAGAUGAUGUUUAUACAAUCGACAUUCCAAUCGGCCCCUUUUAUUACCCUCCGGUUUGCACACAAUCACAUGAACACAAAGGAUUGAAGAAAAAGAACUGAAGUAGCUGUGCUGGUGUUCACCUGAAAUUGCUGUGCCACAAGAGUUGCAGAUAGUGUUUGGUUCCUCAUAGAAGGUUUAUUUAAAGAGUCUGGAGAUGAUCAGCCACUUCUGCCUUUAACUUAUGUAAAACUUCAAAGUUGUAAGAAAUAUACAAGUCAAGUGCU
rnacentral:misc_RNA from 1 species